UAGGUAACAGGUACCAGCUACUGUCAGCAGGGAGGAAGGUAUGUGGUGACCACGAGUCCAGACCUGAGGGUCCUGACCCUCUAAUGCGGCCUCUCACCAGUGUUCGCAGAAACCCACCCGCUGAUUCAAUACGGGGACCAGGAACCUGCCAUGACAGUCACGACUCAGUCUGCCUGCACCUACAUGAUUAAAAAGCUUUAUUGCUCACACAAAGCCUGUUUGGUGGUCUCUUCAUAUGGAUGCGCAUAACAUUUGGUGCCGAAGACCCCGGACAGGGUGACUCCUUCGGGAGAUUGGUCCCCUCUCCUCACCCUCACUCCAUGAGAAGAUCCACCUACGACCUCAGGUCCUCAGACCAGCCCAAGGAACAUCUCACCAAUUUCAAACCGGGUUCCUGUGUCACCCCUAAUCCUGCUUGAAGCAGCCCUGAGAAACAUCACCCAUUAUCUCUCCAUACCACCCCCAAAAAUUUUCGCUGCCCCAACAUUUCAUCACUAUUUUGUUUUGUUUUUCUUAUUAAUAUAAGAAGACAGGAAUGUCAGGCCUCUGAGCCCGAGCUAAGCCAUCAUAUCCCCUGUGACCUGCGCUUAUACAUCCAGAUGGCCUGAAGCAACUGAAGAACCACAAAGAAGUGAAAAUACCCAGUUCCUGCCUUAACUGAUGACAUUCCACCAUUGUAAUUUGUUCCUGCCCCACCCUAACUGAUCAGUUGACCUUGUGACAUUCCUUCUCCUGGACAAUAAAUCUCAGGAGCUCCCCACUGAGCACCUUGUGACCCCCGCCUGUACCCGCAAGAGGACAACCCCCUUUAACUGUAAUUUUCCACUACCUACACAAAUCCUAUAAAACCGCCCCAUCCCUAUCUCCCUUUGCUGACUCUUUUUUCAGACUCAGUCUGCCUGCACCCACAUGAUUAAAAAGCUUAAUUGCUCACACAAAGCCUGUUUGGUGGUCUCUUAACAUGAAUGCACGUAACACAACCACCUUCAGGGCUCAAGAAAUCCUCCUUCUCUGCCUCCUGAGUAGCUGGGACUGCAGGUGCACACCACCACCCCCAGUUAAUUUUUGUAUUUUUUGUAGAGA
rnacentral:lncRNA from 1 species